AGGGGUUUAGGAUAAUACUAAACCAAGGACCUUCAAAGCCCUAAAUGAGAGUGAAAGCCUCUUAACCCCUA
rnacentral:tRNA from 1 species